AUGAACGCUGGCGGCGUGCUUAACACAUGCAAGUCGAACGGGAAACCUUUUAAUGAAGCUUCGGCAGAUUUAGCUGGUUUCUAGUGGCGGACGGGUGAGUAACGCGUGGGUAACCUGCCUUAUACAGGGGGAUAACAGUCAGAAAUGACUGCUAAUACCGCAUAAGCGCACAGGACCGCAUGGUCCGGUGUGAAAAACUCCGGUGGUAUAAGAUGGACCCGCGUUGGAUUAGCUUGUUGGUGGGGUAACGGCUCACCAAGGCGACGAUCCAUAGCCGGCCUGAGAGUGUGAACGGCCACAUUGGGACUGAGACACGGCCCAGACUCCUACGGGAGGCAGCAGUGGGGAAUAUUGCACAAUGGGGGAAACCCUGAUGCAGCGACGCCGCGUGAAGGAAGAAGUAUCUCGGUAUGUAAACUUCUAUCAGCAGGGAAGAUAGUGACGGUACCUGACUAAGAAGCCCCGGCUAACUACGUG
rnacentral:rRNA from 1 species